rnacentral:misc_RNA from 1 species
GAUGAAGAACGUAGCGAAAUGCGAUAAGUAAUGCGAAUUGCAGAAUUCAGUGAAUCAUCGAAUCUUUGAACGCACAUUGCGCCCGCCAGUAUUCUGGCGGGCAUGCCUGUCUGAGCGUCGUUUCGACCCUCGCGCCCGGCUUCUGUCGGGGGCGGUGUUGGGGAUCGGCCACACCCUUCAGUGGGAGGCCGGCCCCUAAAUUCAGUGGCGACCACGCUGUAGCCUCCCCUGCGUAGUACUAACACCACCUCGCAGGCGGAGAGCGGUGCGGCCCGCCGUAAAACCCCCCAACUUUUACAAGGUCGACCUCAGAUCAGGUAGGAAUACCCGCUGAACUUAAGCAUAUCAAUAAGCGGAGGA